UGCGGUUAAAAAGCUCGUAGUUGGAUUUCUGCUGAAGACGGCCGGUCCGCUCUAUGAGCGCGUAUCUGGUUCGGCUUUGGCAUCCUCGUGGGGAACGUAACUGUGCUUGAUUGCAUGGUGCGGAAUUCACGACUUUUACUUUGAGGAAAUUAGAGUGUUCACGGCAGGCAAGCGCCUUGAAUAUAUUAGCAUGGAAUAAUAAUAUAGGACUUUGGUUCUAUUUUGUUGGUUUCUAGGACUAAAGUAAUGAUUAAUAGGGAUAAUUGGGGGCAUUUGUAUUAACGCGUCAGAGGUGGAAUUCUUGGAUUGCGUUACGACAACCUACUGCGGAAGCAUUUGCCAAGGAUGUUUUCAUUGAUCAAGAACGAAAGUAUGGGGAUCGAAGAUGAUUAGAUACCGUCGUAGUCUAUACCAUAAACUAUGCCGACUAGAGAUUGGAGAUAGUUCUUUUUAUGACUUCUUCAGCACCUCAUGAGAAAUCAAAGUCUUUGGGUUCCGGGGGGAGUAUGGUCGCAAGGCUGAAACU
rnacentral:rRNA from 1 species